UUAAAAUUAGUUGUUAAAUUUGGCCACUUAGAAAUUUCUAAGUGGUUCAAAACUCAUAUAGUGCUUCUAUGCCUAUGGGAAAUUUAUGUGCAGGUUCUGGUUUCUCACAUAAUGACAUGUAUGAUAUACAGCCCCCUUCAAGAAGAUACCGUGAAGAUUCUCAAUUGAUAUAUGAAAGGGUUCCCAACUAAGAAUGAGUACUACAUAAGGCUAGAGGAUAUGACUUGGAUGGCUUGUUUAUUCCAGGCUAGAGGAUAUGACUUGGAUGGCUUGUUAGAUUUCAAGAAUUGCAAAUUAUGAACCUUACACAUCUUGUUAAUAUUUUUAUGGGUUACGGAUUUUUAUGUCUUGAAUGGCUUGUUAAUUAGUUUUUAUGGGUUACUGAUUUUCAUUUCCUAAAUAGUUUGUCUAAAAUGGCUUGUUAGUUUUCAAUAAGUAAGCAAUUUGGGGUCAUAAAGUUUUCCAGUUA